rnacentral:misc_RNA from 1 species
UCCUUCUCCCCUUAUUUUGAUGUGGAAUUUUCCAUGGGCUAUUAAGCCCACCCCCUUUAAGGACUCGGUUACUCAGCGAUUCUACCAUCAUACUACGGAUGGUACUGGCAAGGUAUUGUUUGCUUUCUCCAACCCAUCUAGCCAUCUAAACGCUUUUGGGUGUAAUGAUUUUCACUUUGGACUUUCAUUAUAAAGAUGUUUCAACAGUUCUGUCUGAG